UACGUAGGGGGCUAGCGUUGUCCGGAAUCAUUGGGCGUAAAGAGCGUGUAGGCGGUCUGGUAAGUCCGCUGUGAAAGUCGGGGGCUCAACCCUCGAAUGCCGGUGGAUACUGGCGGGCUAGAGUGCGGAAGAGGCGAGUGGAAUUCCUGGUGUAGCGGUGAAAUGCGCAGAUAUCAGGAGGAACACCUAUUGCGAAGGCAGCUCGCUGGGACGUAACUGACGCUGAGACGCGAAAGCGUGGGGAGCAAACAGG
rnacentral:rRNA from 1 species